rnacentral:lncRNA from 1 species
AGGAGAUACAAUAAACCUACGAACCACCGGGUCAGAACCAUUUAAUGAAACCAACAACCUGAUAGAGCCCAGAGUCUUGACCUUUCCCCCACCAAAAACCUCUAUUGGACCCGUAUUCUUGAUCAACUUUGACAUAUCCACCAGAUGUUUCGGAAGGCAUAGGCCCUAUCCCCUACUCCAUCAUUCAACUGGAAAGAGAUGGAAGAACUAGACAGCGCAGAUGACGGACAGCAUACUC